UAAGUAAAAAAGCAAAAUAAACGAAAGUUUAUGACGUAAAGUCAAGGGUCUAAAAGUUGUUGAAACUCAAGAUGGUUAGGCUGCACAA
rnacentral:ncRNA from 1 species